rnacentral:lncRNA from 10 species
AUGAUCAGGAGCUUCUGUGAUUUCUUCCCCCUCACUCUUCAUUUUGCCAAGAUGUCGCCCAUAGUAACCUCAGCAGUGGAGCGGGGAUUCUGCACUGUUCCAUUGCCCGGGGCUGCACAUCCACGUGAGCGGGGCCGACCCGUCCCAGAACGCUUUGCCCUCGGAAGGCAGCAUCACCUGCAGGGGCAAUGCUGUGGACAGCUCUGGCAUGUCCUCCAGGGCCCUGGCAUGGUCAGUGAGAAAAGGCCCCCAGGAGUGGGCUUCUCCCAACAGUCAGGUUCAGAAGGCCUCCUGGGGCACGCACCCUCUGUCGUUGUUGCCCAAGGUGAUGUCAUGUUCAUUCUAAAGGCCGCGGUUCCAAGGGGACUACACCACAAGAAGAUGCCUUCAGAAAGACCCAGAUUUCCUGCGGUCUCAGGUAGGCGGCAGGGAGCAAGAGAACAAGGAAAGGACCCGCCGCCACUCUCCUCAAGAUGGAUGCUGCAUGAUGUGCUGCGAUCCUGGCAUGCUGUGUAGCUGCAGCCCAGGAAGAAAAGCCAGUGUGACCCAGGAGUUAAAGCCCUCAAGUCAGCUCGAAGCUGGGUGAAUUCCAUCCAGCUCCAUGGCUAAUAGCUAGCUGCGUGACCUUGUGCCAAAUUCCUUCACCUGCCCACACCUUCACCUCCCUGUCUGUACAAGGACAUAAUUGUACCCUGAGGUGGCUCUGAAGACUGUGUAUGCACUCAGGC